ACGGACUGAUGCGUACAAAGUCUAAUCUUUUCCUUAUAUUGCUCUCAUGCUUCAAAGAGCGGUUCACCAUCAUUCUGCUUAAAGUAGGAGAUCUAGUUCCUUUACUGU